GCUCAGGCCGGGUCACAGAAGGGGCCGGCGAUGCAGUGGCUCAGGCCUGGUCACAGAAGGGGCCGGCGAUGCAGUGGUAGGUAGAUAAAGGCUCUCCACGGCUGGGGAACGUGUGUGGCAAGACACGGCCAGAGGAGUGGUCCUGGGAGAAGACAGUGCUGAUGGCAGCACCGACGUUCACCGAAAAUAAAAUCAGGCACGGAGACUGUGUCGGUUCCAAGUGGACGUGUGUGAACACAGAAACCACAGGGGCCGCUCCGUCCCAUACCACUGAGCCUGUCCCUCCACGCGCCCGGGGACGACUCCUAAACCACCUUCGCCAGACGCGGGUCCAAUGGCCUACCAAGAGCACAGCUCGGGCAAGCAGCAACCACACGUACUGUGCCCUCCUCACCUCAUACAACCACAGCCACUCAGUCCUUUCUCCUGGAACCUGGUCAAGCCCCUCUGCGUGACUGUCUGCACCGGGACAAGGCCCUGCCUGCCUCUACGCCUGAAGCCGGGCCCCAGGGCACCUUCCCAUCCACAUCUGAGACCACCUUCUUAAUGGUCAACAGCCACUGAACACCCCACAGCCAAGACUUCUUCCCAUCACUUUCCAAGACAGAACAUUUUCAGGUUUGCCAUUAAAAAAUACACCCAGAAA